AAAGGCCUACCCAGAAUGUAGUUAUAAAGGCUCCUCCAUGGGAUGACCAAAAAUUGGGUGUUGAUCGAUCAAAGGUCUCUUUCCUCUCAUACGAAUACCAUAAGCUCCACAUAUCGCCAGGGACGGGUGGAUGUCCCGUUAAAUGCUUGUAGAUAUGAGUCAUCAUAUGGUAUUAGGCAUCCUGUAUCUAGGCCCAUAUUUUUAAAAAGUGACGAAUAAAG
rnacentral:lncRNA from 1 species